ensembl:lncRNA
CCUCUGCUUUUCUACAGGGAGCUGGCACCCAGGAAUGGUGCAGAUGGAGUUUUGCAGGCUCAGGGGCAGCUCUGUCUGUCCCGGGCACCCCAUGCCCUGCUCAGCGUGGGUAGGGUGUUGGCGGCCUGCGGCGCGGGGCUUUGGUCCUUGGAGGCGGAGUCUUGGGAGACUCUGGUCUGUUGCGUGUGGGUGGCAGCAAACCAGAUCGGCUGGUGGAGGGCUCCUCAGGCAGGCUGCACUCACGGUGAGACGGUGAUGCCGCUGUCUCCUGAGGUUCUGCCUGUGCCGGCCUGUCCUUCGUGGCCAUCUGCCUCUGCCUGAGUAGUUUGACAGAG